GUCCCGAAGCCAAACCUAGUUGACGAACCCUGUUUUAUAGUAUUCCAUGGCCUUUACUGGCCAACUGCUGUUAUGUUUAUGAUAUACUAUGGUGUUGUGUCACUAGACUUUGACCAGAUAUUAUUACAUCCAAAGAUCAACUGAACCUAGAACAUAGAUACAGAGACACUUGUCAUCAGGAAGGUGCUCUCUCAGCACAACGGAAAAUAUCUCAAUGACUUGACAUGUUCUGCUUGUGAAUUCAGGCUACAAGGGGACAGUUCUCUAAAAUGAGUCUCUCUGGAGCGAGAAAGAAGGGGGGCCCUGCCUCUAAAAUGAGACUCUCUGGGGAGAGAGAGGAAGGGGGCCCUGCCUCUAAAAUGAGUCUCUCUGGAGCGAGAAAGAAGGGGGGCCCUGCCUCUAAAAUGAGACUUUCUGGGGAACAUGACACCAAAGCUAAGAGUCCAAUCAAGCAGGAGAGACCAGCCUCCCCUGUUCCCAGCUGUGUGUCCAUGAAGAGUGACUGGUCUAU